AAGCGAGAUCUGUCAAUGUUGGCGGAAAAUUUCAAUUAGGCUUUUGACAUGUGAAAUAAGAACAGUAAACACAUAUUAACGAUAAAAAUGAGUGGUUGGAUUUGUGUUAAUACUGAUUUUGAUGGAGAUGAAACUGCUCAUUUUGGACCAAGGAAAGAGACCGGUACCUCCCUGUAUCAAGUUGAUACUCUUGCAACAAUAUCUUCCCAAGAAAAGAAUCGAACAAAGCAGCUCAAAGUAGUGUCAUCAGUUUUGGGAGAUUUUGGAUGUUUGGCUAUUUGUAAAGACCUAUCCAUAUUCAAAGAUUUCCAGUUUGCUUUCACGUUAAGUUUUGAUGAUGCUGUUGAUGCUGUGGGUUGGAGUCCAGAUGGUAGAUUAUUGGUUGUAGGAACUAAAGAUGGCAAAAUAUAUCUGGUAGAAACAGAAACCUAUCAAAUAUUGUUUACUUUCGCAGUAUUUCCAGAAGCUAGUAUAACUAAUGGAGCAGCCUUUAGACGAAUAUUGUUUCAAGAAAAACACAAUGAAGAACUUGUAUGUGAUGUGUUUUUUCUAUCAACGGAUGGUUUGGUUUGUAUUAUGAAGAGUUUAGAUCUUUCUAUAUUUACAGAAG